rnacentral:tRNA from 1 species
GACCGCGUAACUCAGUUGGCAGAGCAUUGGGCUAGUAUUUCCAAAGGUUGUAGGUUUGAUUCCCACCGUGGUCA